rnacentral:tRNA from 1 species
AGUGGAGUAACUCACCGGUUAGAGUGCUCGUCUUAUAAGCGAGAUGUAAAAGGUUCGACUCCUUUCUCCACCA